rnacentral:rRNA from 1 species
GAGGAAUAUUGGACAAUGGGCGCAAGCCUGAUCCAGCCAUGCCGCGUGCAGGAAGAAGCAUCUAUGGUGUGUAAACUGCUUUUGUACGGGAAGAAACACUCCUUCGUGAAGGAGCUUGACGGUACCGUAAGAAUAAGGAUCGGCUAACUCCGUGCCAGCAGCCGCGGUAAUACGGAGGAUCCAAGCGUUAUCCGGAAUCAUUGGGUUUAAAGGGUCCGUAGGCGGUUUAGUAAGUCAGUGGUGAAAGCCCAUCGCUCAACGAUGGAACGGCCAUUGAUACUGCUAGACUUGAAUUAUUAGGAAGUAACUAGAAUAUGUAGUGUAGCGGUGAAAUGCUUAGAUAUUACAUGGAAUACCAAUUGCGAAGGCAGGUUACUACUAAUGGAUUGACGCUGAUGGACGAAAGCGUGGGGAGCGAAC